UGGGGAAUUUUGGACAAUGGGGGAAACCCUGAUCCAGCCAUCCCGCGUGUGCGAUGAAGGCCUUCGGGUUGUAAAGCACUUUUGGCAGGAAAGAAACGUCAUGGGUUAAUACCCCGUGAAACUGACGGUACCUGCAGAAUAAGCACCGGCUAACUACGUGCCAGCAGCCGCGGUAAUACGUAGGGUGCAAGCGUUAAUCGGAAUUACUGGGCGUAAAGCGUGCGCAGGCGGUUCGGAAAGAAAGAUGUGAAAUCCCAGAGCUCAACUUUGGAACUGCAUUUUUAACUACCGGGCUAGAGUGUGUCAGAGGGAGAUGGAAUUCCGCGUGUAGCAGUGAAAUGCGUAGAUAUGAGAAGGAACACCGAUGGCGAAGGCAGCCGCCUGGGAUAACACUGACGCUCAUGCACGAAAGCGUGGGGAGCAAACAGG
rnacentral:rRNA from 1 species